rnacentral:rRNA from 1 species
GGGUGGUAAUGCCGGAUGUUCCACAUGAUCGCAUGUGAUUGUGGGAAAGAUUCUAUCGGCGUGGGAUGGGGUCGCGUCCUAUCAGCUUGUUGGUGAGGUAACGGCUCACCAAGGCUUCGACGGGUAGCCGGCCUGAGAGGGCGACCGGCCACAUUGGGACUGAGAUACGGCCCAGACUCCUACGGGAGGCAGCAGUGGGGAAUAUUGCACAAUGGGCGCAAGCCUGAUGCAGCGACGCCGCGUGAGGGAUGGAGGCCUUCGGGUUGUAAACCUCUUUUGUUUGGGAGCAAGCCUUCGGGUGAGUGUACCUUUCGAAUAAGCGCCGGCUAACUACGUGCCAGCAGCCGCGGUAAUACGUAGGGCGCAAGCGUUAUCCGGAUUUAUUGGGCGUAAAGGGCUCGUAGGCGGCUCGUCGCGUCCGGUGUGAAAGUCCAUCGCUUAACGGUGGAUCUGCGCCGGGUACGGGCGGGCUGGAGUGCGGUAGGGGAGACUGGAAUUCCCGGUGUAACGGUGGAAUGUGUAGAUAUCGGAAAGAAACACCA